rnacentral:tRNA from 1 species
GGAGGGUAUAGCUCAGUGGUAGAGCUUGUGUUUAUCACGCACAAGGCCCUGGGUUCAAUCCCCAGUAUCUCCA